rnacentral:tRNA from 1 species
GAGGGUUAGCCUAACGGUAAGGCAGCGGACUUGAAAUCCGCCGUCUCUCACGAGACAUGGGGGUUCAAAUCCCUCACCCUCCG